AGAGUUUGAUCCUGGCUCAGAUUGAACGCUGGCGGCAUGCCUUACACAUGCAAGUCGAACGGCAGCGCGGGGCAACCUGGCGGCGAGUGGCGAACGGGUGAGUAAUAUAUCGGAACGUACCCUGGAGUGGGGGAUAACGUAACGAAAGUUACGCUAAUACCGCAUACGAUCUAAGGAUGAAAGUGGGGGAUUCGCAAGGACCUCAUGCUCCUGGAGCGGCCGAUAUCUGAUUAGCUAGUUGGUAGGGUAAAAGCCUACCAAGGCAUCGAUCAGUAGCUGGUCUGAGAGGACGACCAGCCACACUGGAACUGAGACACGGUCCAGACUCCUACGGGAGGCAGCAGUGGGGAAUUUUGGACAAUGGGCGCAAGCCUGAUCCAGCAAUGCCGCGUGAGUGAAGAAGGCCUUCGGGUUGUAAAGCUCUUUUGUCAGGGAAGAGACGGUGUUUUCUAAUACAGAACGCUAAUGACGGUACCUGAAGAAUAAGCACCGGCUAACUACGUGCCAGCAGCCGCGGUAAUACGUAGGGUGCAAGCGUUAAUCGGAAUUACUGGGCGUAAAGCGUGCGCAGGCGGUUUUGUAAGACUGUCGUGAAAUCCCCGGGCUCAACCUGGGAAUGGCGAUGGUGACUGCAAGGCUAGAGUUUGGCAGAGGGGGGUAGAAUUCCACGUGUAGCAGUGAAAUGCGUAGAUAUGUGGAGGAACACCGAUGGCGAAGGCAGCCCCCUGGGUCAAAACUGACGCUCAUGCACGAAAGCGUGGGGAGCAAACAGGAUUAGAUACCCUGGUAGUCCACGCCCUAAACGAUGUCUACUAGUUGUCGGGUUUUAAUUAACUUGGUAACGCAGCUAACGCGUGAAGUAGACCGCCUGGGGAGUACGGUCGCAAGAUUAAAACUCAAAGGAAUUGACGGGGACCCGCACAAGCGGUGGAUGAUGUGGAUUAAUUCGAUGCAACGCGAAAAACCUUACCUACCCUUGACAUGGCAGAAAUCCCGGAGAGAUUUGGGAGUGCUCGAAAGAGAAUCUGCACACAGGUGCUGCAUGGCUGUCGUCAGCUCGUGUCGUGAGAUGUUGGGUUAAGUCCCGCAACGAGCGCAACCCUUGUCAUUAGUUGCUACGAAAGAGCACUCUAAUGAGACUGCCGGUGACAAACCGGAGGAAGGUGGGGAUGACGUCAAGUCCUCAUGGCCCUUAUGGGUAGGGCUUCACACGUCAUACAAUGGUACAUACAGAGGGCCGCCAACCCGCGAGGGGGAGCUAAUCCCAGAAAGUGUAUCGUAGUCCGGAUUGUAGUCUGCAACUCGACUGCAUGAAGUUGGAAUCGCUAGUAAUCGCGGAUCAGCAUGUCGCGGUGAAUACGUUCCCGGGUCUUGUACACACCGCCCGUCACACCAUGGGAGCGGGUUUUACCAGAAGUAGGUAGCUUAACCGUAAGGAGGGCGCUUACCACGGUAGGAUUCGUGACUGGGGUGAAGUCGUAACAAGGUAACC
rnacentral:rRNA from 1 species